rnacentral:misc_RNA from 1 species
AAGUCGUAACAAGGUCUCCGUAGGUGAACCUGCGGAGGGAUCAUUACCGAGUGAGGGCGCUCGCCGCCCGACCUCCCAACCCUUUGAUUUGAUCAAGACCUCCUUCUGCCUCGGGGGCGACCCGGACCUCGCGGUCCGCCGGUCCCCCCGGUGGUCACCAACCAAAACUCUGCAUCAAUUGUCGUCUGAGCGUAUUGAGAAAUCAAUCAAAACUUUCAACAACGGAUCUCUUGGUUCUG